rnacentral:rRNA from 1 species
GACGAACGCUGGCGGCGUGCUUAACACAUGCAAGUCGAACGGAAAGGCCCUGCUUUUGUGGGGUGCUCGAGUGGCGAACGGGUGAGUAACACGUGAGUGACCUGCCCUUGACUUUGGGAUAACUUCAGGAAACUGGGGCUAAUACCGGAUAGGAGCUCCUGCUGCAUGGUGGGGGUUGGAAAGUUUCGGCGGUUGGGGAUGGACUCGCGGCUUAUCAGCUUGUUGGUGGGGUAGUGGCUUACCAAGGCUUUGACGGGUAGCCGGCCUGAGAGGGUGACCGGCCACAUUGGGACUGAGAUACGGCCCAGACUCCUACGGGAGGCAGCAGUGGGGAAUAUUGCACAAUGGGCGGAAGCCUGAUGCAGCAACGCCGCGUGCGGGAUGACGGCCUUCGGGUUGUAAACCGCUUUCGCCUGUGACGAAGCGUGAGUGACGGUAAUGGGUAAAGAAGCACCGGCUAACUACGCG